rnacentral:rRNA from 1 species
UACGAGGGGGGCAAGUGUUGUUCGGAAUCACUGGGCGUAAAGGGAGCGUAGGCGGGCUUUUAAGUUAGGUGUUUAAUCCCGGGGCCCAACCCCGGACCGGCACCUAAAACUGGGAGUCUUGAAUAGUGGAGAGGUCAGUGGAAUUGGGGGUGUAGCGGUGGAAUGCGUAGAUAUCGGGAGGAACACCAGAGGCGAAAGCGGCGACCUGGACAGGUACUGACACUCAACUACGAAAGCGUGGGGAGCAAACAGG